rnacentral:rRNA from 1 species
UACGAAGGGGGGCUAGCGUUGCUCGGAAUCACUGGGCGUAAAGGGUGCGUAGGCGGGUCUUUAAGUCAGGGGUGAAAUCCUGGAGCUCAACUCCAGAACUGCCUUUGAUACUGAGGAUCUUGAGUUCGGGAGAGGUGAGUGGAACUGCGAGUGUAGAGGUGAAAUUCGUAGAUAUUCGCAAGAACGCCAGUGGCGAAGGCGGCUCACUGGCCCGAUACUGACGCUGAGGCACGAAAGCGUGGGGAGCAAACAGGG